rnacentral:rRNA from 1 species
AACGUAGGAGGCGAGCGUUAUCCGGAUUUACUGGGUGUAAAGCGCGUGCAGGCGGUCUGGUAAGUGGCGCGUGAAAGCGCCCGGCUCAACCGGGCGAGGACGUGCCAAACUGCGAGACUAGAGGGAGGUAGAGGCGCGUGGAAUUCCGGGUGUAGUGGUGAAAUGCGUAGAGAUCCGGAGGAACACCAGUGGCGAAGGCGGCGCGCUGGGCCAAACCUGACGCUAAGACGCGAAAGCAUGGGGAGCGAACGGG